AGGUUAAGUUAUUAAGGGCGCAUGGUGGAUGCCUUGGCACUAGGAGCCGAUGAAGGACGUGACUAACUGCGAUAAGCUUCGGGGAGUUGUAAGUAAACUGUGAUCCGGAGAUUUCCGAAUGGGGAAACCCAGCAGGAGUAAAGACCUGUUAUCACUGAGUGAAUACAUAGCUCAGUUGAAGGUAGACGUGGGGAACUGAAACAUCUAAGUACCCAUAGGAAGAGAAAGAAAAUUCGAUUCCCUGAGUAGCGGCGAGCGAAAAGGGAACAGCCCAAACCAGAGAGCUUGCUCUCUGGGGUUGUAGGACUGGACAUUUGAGUUACCAAGAAACGAAGUAGUUGAAUGAUUUGGGAAGAUCAGCCAGAGAAGGUGAUAGCCCUGUAAGCGAAACUUCGUUUCCUCAGCCCAGUAUCCUGAGUACGGCGGAACACGUGAAACUCCGUCGGAAUCCGGGAGGACCAUCUCCCAAGGCUAAAUACUCCCUAGUGACCGAUAGUGAACCAGUACCGUGAGGGAAAGGUGAAAAGCACCCCGGGAGGGGAGUGAAAUAGUUCCUGAAACCAUGUGCCUACAAGUAGUCAGAGCCCGUUAAUGGGUGAUGGCGUGCCUUUUGUAGAAUGAACCGGCGAGUUACGUUAGCGUGCGAGGUUAAGGCGCAAAGGCCGGAGCCGUAGCGAAAGCGAGUCUGAAUAGGGCGAAUGAGUACGUUGACGUAGACCCGAAACCAGGUGACCUACCCAUGUCCAGGUUGAAGGUGCGGUAAGACGCACUGGAGGACCGAACCCGUGUAUGUUGAAAAAUGCUGGGAUGAGGUGUGGGUAGAGGUGAAAUUCCAAACGAACUUGGAGAUAGCUGGUUCUCUCCGAAAUAGCUUUAGGGCUAGCCUCGGAGUUAAGGAUCGUGGAGGUAGAGCACUGUUUGGACUAGGGGCCCGUCUUGGGUUACUGAAUUCAGAUAAACUCCGAAUGCCACAGAUCUAUAUCCGGGAGUCAGACUGCGAGUGAUAAGAUCCGUAGUCGAAAGGGAAACAGCCCAGACCACCGAUUAAGGUCCCUAAAUAUGUGUUAAGUGGAAAAGGAUGUGGAAUUGCACAGACAACUAGGAUGUUGGCUUAGAAGCAGCCACCAUUUAAAGAGUGCGUAAUAGCUCACUAGUCGAGUGAUCCUGCGCCGAAAAUGUAACGGGGCUAAACACAUUACCGAAAUCGUGGAUGCAACUAUGUUGCAUGGUAGGAGAGCGUUCUAAGGGCGAUGAAGCUAGACCGUAAGGACUGGUGGAGCGCUUAGAAGUGAGAAUGCCGGUAUGAGUAGCGAAAGAUCAGUGAGAAUCUGGUCCACCGUAUGACUAAGGUUUCCUGGGGAAGGCUCGUCCUCCCAGGGUUAGUCGGGACCUAAGCCGAGGCCGAGAGGCGUAGGCGAUGGAUAACAGGUUGAGAUUCCUGUACUGGUUUGAUUUGUUUGAACGAUGGAGGGACGCAGGAGGCUAGAGAUGCGUGCUGUUGGAUAUGCACGUCCAAGCAACAAGUCUGAUGAUGAGUCAAAUGCUUAUCGUCUUAAGGACAAGUUGUGACGGGGAGCGAAAUUAAAGUAGCGAAGUGAUCGAUGUCACACUGCCGAGAAAAGCUUCUAGUUAGRAUCAGACCACCCGUACCGCAAACCGACACAGGUAGUCGAGGCGAGUAGCCUAAGGUGAGCGAGAGAACUCUCGUUAAGGAACUCGGCAAAAUGACCCCGUAACUUCGGGAGAAGGGGUGCUGCACRAUGUGCAGCCGCAGUGAAUAGGCCCAGGCGACUGUUUAUCAAAAACACAGGUUUCUGCAAAAUCGUAAGAUGAAGUAUAGGGGCUGACGCCUGCCCGGUGCUGGAAGGUUAAGAGGAUGGGUUAGCGUAAGCGAAGCUCAGAAUUGAAGCCCCAGUAAACGGCGGCCGUAACUAUAACGGUCCUAAGGUAGCGAAAUUCCUUGUCGGGUAAGUUCCGACCCGCACGAAAGGCGUAACGAUCUGGGCACUGUCUCAACGAGAGACUCGGUGAAAUUAUAAUACCCGUGAAGAUGCGGGUUAUCGUAAGAUGAAGUAUAGGGGCUGACGCCUGCCCGGUGCUGGAAGGUUAAGAGGAUGGGUUAGCGUAAGCGAAGCUCAGAAUUGAAGCCCCAGUAAACGGCGGCCGUAACUAUAACGGUCCUAAGGUAGCGAAAUUCCUUGUCGGGUAAGUUCCGACCCGCACGAAAGGCGUAACGAUCUGGGCACUGUCUCAACGAGAGACUCGGUGAAAUUAUAAUACCCGUGAAGAUGCGGGUUACCCGCGACAGGACGGAAAGACCCCAUGGAGCUUUACUGUAGCUUGAUAUUGGGUGUUUGUACAACUUGUACAGGAUAGGUAGGAGCCGUAGAAGUCGGAACGCUAGUUUCGAUCGAGGCGCUGGUGGGAUACUACCCUCGUUGUAUGAACACUCUAACCCUCGYCGCUUAUCGCGGCGGGAGACAGUGUCAGGUGGGCAGUUUGACUGGGGCGGUCGCCUCCUAAAAGGUAACGGAGGCGCCCAAAGGUUCCCUCAGAAUGGUUGGAAAUCAUUCGCAGAGUGUAAAGGCAUAAGGGAGCUUGACUGCGAGACCUACAAGUCGAGCAGGGACGAAAGUCGGGCUUAGUGAUCCGGUGGUUCCGCAUGGAAGGGCCAUCGCUCAACGGAUAAAAGCUACCCUGGGGAUAACAGGCUUAUCUCCCCCAAGAGUCCACAUCGACGGGGAGGUUUGGCACCUCGAUGUCGGCUCAUCGCAUCCUGGGGCUGUAGUCGGUCCCAAGGGUUGGGCUGUUCGCCCAUUAAAGCGGUACGCGAGCUGGGUUCAGAACGUCGUGAGACAGUUCGGUCCCUAUCCGUCGCGGGCGUAGGAAAUUUGAGAGGAUCUGUCCUUAGUACGAGAGGACCGGGAUGGACAUACCGCUGGUGUACCAGUUGUUCUGCCAAGGGCAUCGCUGGGUAGCUAUGUAUGGAUGAGAUAAACGCUGAAAGCAUCUAAGUGCGAAACUCACCUCGAGAUAAGAUUUCCCAUUCCUUUAUGGAAGUAAGACCCCUGAGAGAUGAUCAGGUAGAUAGGAUGGAAGUGGAAGUACGGYGACGUAUGGAGCGGACCAUUACUAAUCGGUCGAGGACUUAACCAAG
rnacentral:rRNA from 1 species